AUUGAACGCUGGCGGCAGGCCUAACACAUGCAAGUCGAACGGUAACAGAAAGCAGCUUGCUGCUUUGCUGACGAGUGGCGGACGGGUGAGUAAUGUCUGGGAAACUGCCUGAUGGAGGGGGAUAACUACUGGAAACGGUAGCUAAUACCGCAUAACGUCGCAAGACCAAAGAGGGGGACCUUCGGGCCUCUUGCCAUCGGAUGUGCCCAGAUGGGAUUAGCUAGUAGGUGGGGUAACGGCUCACCUAGGCGACGAUCCCUAGCUGGUCUGAGAGGAUGACCAGCCACACUGUAACUGAGACACGGUCCAGACUCCUACGGGAGGCAGCAGUGGGGAAUAUUGCACAAUGGGCGCAAGCCUGAUGCAGCCAUGCCGCGUGUAUGAAGAAGGCCUUCGGGUUGUAAAGUACUUUCAGCGGGGAGGAAGGGAGUAAAGUUAAUACCUUUGCUCAUUGACGUUACCCGCAGAAGAAGCACCGGCUAACUCCGCG
rnacentral:rRNA from 1 species